rnacentral:rRNA from 1 species
UACGGAGGGAGCUAGCGUUGUUCGGAAUUACUGGGCGGAAAGCGCGCGUAGGCGGCUUGGUAAGUUAGAGGGGAAAGCCCGGAGCUCAACUCCGGAACUGCCUUUAAAACUGCAUCGCUUGAAUCCAGGAGAGGUGAGUGGAAUUCCGAGUGUAGAGGUGAAAUUCGUAGAUAUUCGGAAGAACACCAGUGGCGAAGGCGGCUCACUGGACUGGUAUUGACGCUGAGGUGCGAAAGCGUGGGGAGCAAACAGG